rnacentral:rRNA from 1 species
GACGAACGCUGGCGGCGUGCUUAACACAUGCAAGUCGAACGGUGACGCGCCUUCCUUUUUGGUGGGUGUGGAUGAGUGGCGAACGGGUGAGUAACACGUGAGUAACCUGCCUUCUUCUUCUGGAUAACCGCAUGAAAGUGUGGCUAAUACGGGAUAUUCUGUGUCUGUCGCAUGAUGGGUCUGGGAAAGAUUUUGUUUCGGUGGGGGAUGGGCUCGCGGCCUCUCAGCUUGGUGGUGGGGGGAUGGCCUAACAAGGCGGUGACGGGUAGCCGGCCUGAGAUGAUCGGCCAUCAUAGUGGGACUGCGAGAUGAACAAGCCUACGAGGGGCAGCAGCAGGGAAGAAUAGUGCAUGAGGGGCGGAAGGCUGAUGCAGCGACGCGUGGGUAGAGAUGGCGGUCGGCGGGUAGAGAACUUCUGUCGGGAGUGAAGCGGGGCAGGUUCAUAUGUCGGUGUGUUGACGGUAGCUGAAGAAGAAGCACCGGCUAACUACGUG